ACGGUAACAGGGACUUCCGGUCCGCUGACGAGUGGGCGCACGGGUGAGUAACGCGUGGGUUACCUGCCCAUAAGUGGGGAACAACUUGGAGAAAUCCAAGCUAAUACCGCAUAAUGCCUUCGGGUUAAAGAGGGGGAUCUUCGGACCUCUCGCUUAUGGAUGGUCCCGCGUCUGAUUAGCUAGUUGGUAGGGUAAUGGCCUACCAAGGCAAUGAUCAGUAGCUGGUCUGAGAGGAUGAUCAGUCACACUGGAACUGAGACACGGUCCAGACUCCUACGGGAGGCAGCAGUGGGGAAUUUUGCACAAUGGGCGAAAGCCUGAUGCAGCGACGCCGCGUGCGGGAAGAAGGCCUUCGGGUUGUAAACCGCUUUCAACAGGGAAGAAGGAAUGAGAGCUAAUACCUCUCUGCCCUGACGGUACCUGUAGAAGAAGCACCGGCUAAUUUCGUGCCAGCAGCCGCGGUAAUACGAAAGGUGCAAGCGUUGUUCGGAUUUACUGGGCGUAAAGAGAUCGUAGGUGGCUUGUUAAGUCGGAUGUGAAAUCCCGGGGCUCAACCCCGGAACUGCAUCCGAUACUGGCAGGCUUGAGUUUGGGGGGGGUAAGCGGAAUUCCGUGUGUAGCAGUGAAAUGCGUAGAUAUACGGAGGAACACCUGAGGCGAAUGCGGCUUACUGGACCAAUACUGACACUGAGGAUCGAAAGCGUGGGUAGCAAACAGGAUUAGAUACCCUGAUAGUCCACGCCCUAAACGAUGUCAACUAGCCCGUUGCGGGUAUCGACCCCUGCAGUGGCGCAGCUAACGCGAUAGUUGACGCCUGGGGGAGUACGUCGCAGAUUAAACUCAAGGAAUUGACGGGGCCCGCACAAGCG
rnacentral:rRNA from 1 species